rnacentral:rRNA from 1 species
CCUACGGGUGGCAGCAGUGAGGAAUAUUGGUCAAUGGGCGCGAGCCUGAACCAGCCAAGUCGCGUGAAGGAUGACUGCUCUACGGUUUGUAAACUUCUUUUCUAAGGGAAUAAAGUGAGGCACGUGUGCAUGUUUGCAUGUACACUCUGAAUAAGGAUCGGCUAACUCCGUGCCAGCAGCCGCGGUAAUACGGAGGAUGCGAGCGUUAUCCGGAUUUAUUGGGUGUAAGGGGAGCGUAGAUGGGUUGUUAAGUCAGAUGUGAAAGUUUGCGGCUCAACCGUAAAAUUGCAAUUGAUACUGGAAGGCUUGAGUGCAGGUGAGGUAGGCGGAAUUCGUGGUGUAGCGGUGAAAUGCUUAGAUAUCACGAAGAACACCGAUUGCGAAGGCAGCUUACUAAACUGUAACUGACACUGAGGCUCGAAAGUGUGGGGAUCAAACAGGAUUAGAUACCCGUGUAGUC